rnacentral:rRNA from 1 species
UACGUAGGGUGCAAGCGUUAAUCGGAAUUACUGGGCGUAAAGCGUGCGCAGGCGGUUUUGUAAGUCUGUCGUGAAAUCCCCGGGCUCAACCUGGGAAUUGCGAUGGAGACUGCAAGGCUAGAAUCUGGCAGAGGGGGGUAGAAUUCCACGUGUAGCAGUGAAAUGCGUAGAGAUGUGGAGGAACACCGAUGGCGAAGGCAGCCCCCUGGGUCAAGAUUGACGCUCAUGCACGAAAGGCGUGGGGAGCAAACAGGAUUAGAAACCCGUUG